rnacentral:rRNA from 1 species
CGCGUAGGUGGUUGUGUAAGUCAGAUGUGAAAUCCCGAGGCUCAACUUCGGAACUGCAUCUGAAACUGCAUGACUCGAGUACAGCAGAGGGAAACGGAAUUCCUGGUGUAGAGGUGAAAUUCGUAGAUAUCAGGAGGAACACCGGUGGCGAAGGCGGUUUCCUGGGCUGAUACUGACACUGAGGCGCGAAAGCGUGGGGAGCAAACAG